AACUACACUAUUAAUGAAUGGGCCCACCUGCAAGAUGAGGUGGCUGUUUUUCCACCUAGGACGAAGGUCCCAAUGCAAGUCCGCACCCUAGGUGGAACAAUUAUAUCAUCUCGCGGGUGGUCCAAUGGUUGAUAGUGUCUUU
rnacentral:pre_miRNA from 1 species